UUCCGUCCAGGCGGGCCCAGGACGCAAAUCCGUUUCCUUCAGUAUUGACAGGAUAUCAACGGUGCUUCUAGAUGGACGGUCAUGAUCGCCACUUGGACGGGUGGGGCAGAGGUAGCGAGCUGUGCCACCACCGCAAGCACGAUGCCAUUACUAUCUUCCCCAGUCUCUCCUUCUCUCUGAGUAAAAGAUGAGAAGAAGAGGAAAGGAGGGGAGGGAACAGAGGAAGUGGGCCAUCCCUUGGGAUGGCAUCCGCUUCUCCGCCCUUCCCUUUGCAAAGGAAGAAGAAGAAGAAGAAGAAGAAGAAGAAAAAGAACCCCAAAAGAGAAGAUGCGGCUCUGUCUCCCGUCCUCAUGAUCCAACGUCUCCUCUUCCACCCACUAACCCUAAAUCACCACCACCACCACCAUCACUAUCAGCAUCUGCUCCAUCAGUGGCAGCCCUCGAUCCCGAUUUCUCGGCCCUCCCUUUCGACGUGCUGGCUCACAUCGCCGCCUCCUUCACCGUUCCCAACCUCUGGGCCGCCAGCAUGGUCUGCCGAUUGUGGAGGGAGGCCCUCCGUCCGCUAAGGGAAGCCAUGGUGCUUGUCCGUUGGGGUAAACGGUUCAAGCAUGGCCACGGCGGUGUCCGUCCCAAUCUCCAAAAGGCCCUUGAUUCCUUCCUCAAAGGUGCUGCCCGUGGUUCCACACCCGCGAUGGUCGAUGCUGGCCUCCUCUACUGGGAGAUGGGCAACAAGGAAGAGGGCAUCGCUUGGUAUAGAAAGGCAGCUGCUCUUGGGGACCCCACUGGGCAGUGCAAUCUUGGUAUCUCUUUCUUGCAAGCUGAACCUCCAAGGCAAGAGGAGGCUGUAAAAUGGUUCUACCAAGCUGCAAUUGCAGGCCAUGUUAGAGCUCAAUAUAAUCUCGCACUCAGUCUGCAUCAGGGACGUGGCAUUGAGCGCAAUCUACCAGAAGCUGCUAAGUGGUAUUUAAGAGCAGCAGAAGGUGGAAAUGCGCGUGCAAUGUACAAUACUUCCUUGUGUUACUCCUCUGGUGAAGGAUUAAUGCGAAGCCAUCGACAAGCGAAGAAGUGGAUGAAACGGGCAGCCGACUGUGGUCACAGGAAAGCUCAAUAUGAACACGGCCUCAAACUCUUUUCUAUACAUUCAAAGAAGAGGAAUAGACUCGAGCAACAGAGAUUGAAUGCGUUCGUCUUCGUAAAAUAUAAUCUCCAACUUGAAAUCCGUCAUGCAAAGAGAGAGAGAAGGACCAAUGGCUUGAUCCUAUAUGCUUAUCAGAUAUGGAAUUUGAUGGUGAAUGGAUCACGAAGAAAGAUGAUCCUGCACUUCCUAUAGAUAACACCUGGAUGGACAUAGGUGAAUGAUUUACCAAAGGAUUGGAGGAUGUGCAAGGUGUAGGUGGAUCCACAUCAAGAUCGGAUGGGCGAUGUGGUCCUAGAAAACUUGCUAUUCGAAGUAAAGCGAAGGGAAAAACGAAAGUGGUAGAAGAGGAGGAAGCAAAGUUUAUUUCGACAUCAAAUUUUGAAGAUGAAGAUGAUGUUGAUAAUGUUGACCUCAUUGGUAAUGAGGAGGAUGAUGACACCUUGCAGCCACUAAAUAAUUGAUUCGUUUGGACUUUUUAUUUCCUUUUUGACUUAUAAAAACAAGUGAUAGAGAAUACAUUAUACAUGUAAAUGGGGAUGGGGGAAUGUUAUUUUUUUGAAUCAUAUGGAAAACUAACAUAUGUACAUGGGAUGGGAAAGGGGUUAUUUUUUCAACCUGAUUAUGAUAUGAUGAUACAACACAAUGACAAUGAAUCAAUGAUACAUUUAACAUACAAUUUAUCACAAUUUUAGAUUUAAUUGUUGGGAUUUUUACCUGAAAAUUCCUCUUAGUACGCAAUAUUCUGAUAACAUGCUUUGACCCCUUCAUAUUUACCAAAAGGUUACUACCUCAUUGUAUGGGCAGAAGAUAAAAAGUCCAAACUACCCUUAACAAAGAGUUACGCAUAACUGGUGUCUCCGUCAGUGGGGAAGGGACUUACAAUUUAUGACAAACUAAAAGCUUUGUAUGCACUAACUUAAUUGUGUUCAAGAAAUCCAAUUUGAUGACAAGUUGAGUGAACUAAUUUUAAGUAUAAGUAUCAAAAGCCAACCCCAUCCGUUAUUCAGGUGGACCAUACGAUUGGAAACAUUGUACAUGACGAUGCCCACCCUUCAAAUUGUUUCCCUUGGUGUGACUCAUUUGAAUCAAGGAUUAUUAUUAUUAUAUUUUAAAUGCCCCAAGCGUAAAUGUUUUUUGUGGAAUCUAUUAGUUGGAGUGGAUUUCUUAUAGUCAUUAUGGUGGUCUCUAUAAAAAGCAACGGUUGACUUCUCUCCUAACUCUUCCUUUUGUUGUGGCCCAUCUAAUUCACCCAUCAGCUUGAUUUUUUGGCCUUGGGCCCAAGGUGGAAUUAUGCAUCUAAUGGUCAAAGUGGAUUUCACAUAUACAUCAUGGGUUCGAGUACCCAUUGUGGUGUGCAUGUGAGCGUGAGGGUGUGUGCGUAGG